UAUGCUAAAAUGUAAAGGACUAAGUUAUAGGCCUGAAAGUAAAUGAAUUUCCUGAGAGAAAGUGUCUAGGUCACAGAAAACAUACCAACUUGUCCAGGGAAAUGGGGAAAAGACCAUGAGUCAAAACAAUCUGCUGAAGGAGAUGAAAAUCAAGAAGCAACAAGUUAUCACCCACUAGACCUCUGAACGGCACCUUGACAGGGAACUCGACAGGUGGGGGUGCUUCUGGAACUCUGAGGACUCACAGACAAGAAAGGGAAGGAAAAGAACAUCAUUUUCUCCUACAGUUCCAGAAAUUAAAAUACCCUCUGAACUGCAGAAGUAGACCAG